CGUCCGAUAGCAGUGCGCAUGACAACAAAACCAGGAACGCUACUUCUUUUCCUCCUCUCUGUCCAUGCUGUUGAAGGGAGAAGACAUGUGCGUCCUCUCUGAUCACGAUGACUUUUCUAACCAUAAUGCAGAGUUCUCCUUUACAAAUGAUUGCAAUGGCUAAAGGUGAUAUCAACCAGGAUUCGUGAUGUGGUUGUAUUAAGGUUCGAUGGACUGAAAAUGAGAAGGUGCAAACGAGAAGGUGCAGAUGUACACAUCUUCUGUACCAAGUCUUCUGAGUCCAGCAGGGAUGCGUGGUGCUGUAUCUAUAUUCUCAGAAACGAGACAGGAGUAGUGAGUGCAGCACGGAGGUCUUCAUCCGAGGUUCUGAUGUGACAUCCGAUCUAUGGUUGGAACUGACUAAGGAAACUUUAACCAUGGACAAUCUAGCCUGAAUUGAAGCAAUCCAGAUGGCAAUCCCCUGGGUCACCGCUAUCGAUGUUACUGGCAACUUGAAGGAACAACCUGGAAGUUACAAUUUGCCUUUUUCUUCCCCAUUUAAUUUGCUGGUCAAAUGUACAGUUUUAUUGUUUCUCACACAACUACUAAAAUAAACUUGUAUGAAUAAAUAAAAGAAUUGCCAAAGCCACAAUUA